CCCUUAGAUGUCCUGGGCCGCACGCGCGCUACACUGAGUGUCUGAGAUACGAGUCUGCCUGGUCCGGCAAGGUCUAGGUAAUCGCUAAAAGACACAUCAUGCUUGGGAUAGAUUAUUGCAAAUAUUAAUCUUGAACGAGGAAUUCCUAGUAAGCGCAAGUCAACAGCUUGCGUUGAUUACGGCCCUGCCCUUUGUACACACCGCCCGUCGCUACUACUGAUUGGAUGUUUAAGCGAGGUUCUCGAACUGCUAGCGACUUAGCUUCGGUGAGGUCGCAGUGUGGGAAGUGAACCUAGCUUUGGUGUCUAGAGGAAGUAAAAGUCGUAACA
rnacentral:rRNA from 1 species